AAAUGUAAUUUUCACUGUUGUCCUUUGAAAUCUGGUGACUCUGGAGAGGACCUGGCUUGUGCUCUGGAUUUCCAUUCUAUGCCCAGAUGCUUCUCUCAACGCCAACUGAAGCAUCAUUUGCAUUAAAAAAAAAAUGCUUUGAAAGCGAAGAGGAGAUGUAGCCACGCUUCCCAGAGAGAAGAGCCCUGGGAGAAGACCAGCUUGGGAGGAGAAGAUUAUGAGUUUGGUUUUGGGCAAGUUGAAUUUAAAGUGCCUUUGAGACAUGUGAGUAGAGAUUCAAGGAGAGAGUUGAAAAUAAGAGUUUGAAACAUAAAAGUGGGAAUCAAGACCAGGGACCAAGUAAUUGAGGGAGAGAUUACAGCAUGGGAAGAUGGCCUAAGUCAGUCCUGACAAGUUCCCUGAUGGCUGGU
rnacentral:lncRNA from 1 species